ensembl:lncRNA
AUCUCGUGGACUGAAUCGAGAGGUGGUGAUCCGUUAAACGAGGGAAAAGGAAGAGAGUGGAAAAAGGCGCCUUGGACAAACAAUGAUUUUUUUGCAGAGAGAGUCGUGAAGCCUGUGGAUGGACGGAUGGAUGGAUGGAGGCAGAGUGAUGGAUGAAGAAGUGGGACGGUGUUGACCCAGCCCUGAAAGGCCCAAUGCUUAAUCCAAAGUUGUUUGCACCGGCGGCUAGUCUGGCAGAAGGAAUAACAGGAGCAGGCACCCAGCAUCAGCAUCUCCACAGCUCAGCCCAGGGCCGUAUCUUCUCACUGCAUCCAAAGGAAGAUGGGAUACAGAAUGUUAUGAGAACUUCUUACUCAUUCGGUCCAAACGCUUGUGGGCAGCAAACAGAUUUAGACCCUCAACCUGCUCUGGUCCAGGCCUGGAGGUUCUAA